rnacentral:rRNA from 1 species
GAUGAACGCUGGCGGCGUGCUUAACACAUGCAAGUCGAACGGAAAGGCCCAAGCUUGCUUGGGUACUCGAGUGGCGAACGGGUGAGUAACACGUGGGUGAUCUGCCCUGCACUUCGGGAUAAGCCUGGGAAACUGGGUCUAAUACCGGAUAGGACCACUUCUUGGAUGUUGUGGUGGAAAGUUUUUUCGGUGUGGGAUGAGCUCGCGGCCUAUCAGCUUGUUGGUGGGGUAAUGGCCUACCAAGGCGUCGACGGGUAGCCGGCCUGAGAGGGUGUACGGCCACAUUGGGACUGCGAUACGGCGCAGACUCCUACGGGAGGCAGCAGUGGGGAAUAUUGCACAAUGAGCGCAAGCCUGAUGCAGCGACGCCGCGUGGGGGAUGACGGCCUUCGGGUUGUAAACUCCUUUCGCUAGGGACGAAGCGUUUUGUGACGGUACCUGGAGAAGAAGCACCGGCUAACUACGUG